rnacentral:tmRNA from 1 species
AACAAAUUAAUCUGUAUAAUAGCAAAUGCUGUUUACAGCUAUGGUACUAGAGACGGUACGAAAUAGAUGUUUCAGACCCGGGGGCAGUACCCGGCAUCUCCACCACUUUACGGGUGUUGAAAAAACUGGAGUUUAAGAUGAGUGCCAGGAGUUUGCUGUUUUUGCGCUGGGAGUGUAUUUGCGGUACAUGACCAAGUAAAAACAAAAAUGACGACACAAUCACUUAAAAUACAGGCUUCUGACCUAUGGGGAUGAAAUAGGAUUGAUGGGACAUAGUAAAGGUAUUUUGUUGUACUCGGUGAGAUACCACCGUUAUCGGUUCAACUUAAAAUGAAUGCUAACGAUAAUAACGUAGCACCAGUUGCUUUGGCUGCUUAAGCUUAAAGUGACGAACUUAAAUUCUUGAAACUUUGGUUAGUUUCAAGUGGGGGAGGAGCCACCUAGCAACAGAACGGC